GGGGGCGGCAUUCUCUUGAUCGCUAACUUGUUUAGGAGGGCCUAGUGGGCUGUGCGAUAGGCCACAGGUGGGCCAGGCCUAUAUCAGGAAGGUGGUUGAGCAAGUCGGGAGAUCGAGCUACUAAGCAGUGGCCCCAGCUUCCGUUCCCGCCUUGGAUUCUUUAGACGAUGAGUUGCCAACUUGUUUGUCAGAGAUAUCAGCCCGUGUGGUCUCCAAGCCAUGAAGUACCCUUGUCCCCAGGAAACCCCUGAAGAUAAGCCAACAGGACGGCGUCCCACACAGUGGAUUCUGGCAAGCAGCAGUUCAGGAAGCUUGAGGGGACAGCCCAGGCCACGGUCUUCAGAGAAGCUGGGCACACAAUUGAGGUUUCUUCAGAACAACAAAGCAACGAAACAAUAAUUUCAGAGAAACAAAACCCUGCCUGGGAGAAGUCUGCCAGCGGGAAAGGAAAUGAAGGCACAACCAAGUGGCCCUUGGCUUACCUAUCUGAAAAACACAAGAUGAAACAGAUUCUUUGUAAACCAAUAUUUGUAAAAGCCCCACUGGGCUUUUUGCCUGCACAGACUGCCUAUUGUCUUGGCAAAGGAUGAAAACAAGUGAAUUCUUAUUUAAAAGGAGCAUGAAGCAAAGUCAGGUGAGUUUCCUGGCGUGACUCUGAGCUGUCACUCCUUGAGUCCCUACUGUGUGCGGAGCAGCGUGCUGGGCACGGGGCGCCCAUAUUUCAUUUGGCAGAAGAAAUCUUAGCACUCUGACAGCAGAUGUGGAAAACUCCUCCUAUUCAUCCAUGUGUUCUUCGCCCCACAGAUGCUCCUUGAGUGAUUAACACGUGCAUGCUUGGCACUGUAUGGUGCAGACACAAUAAUCAGCAAAGCCUUGUUCCUUGCGGCUAGGUAGGGUUCUCAGCCUCGACAUUUCUGAUUUGGGGGGCAAGAUGCGAACUCUUUGGUGAUUGUUUUUAUUUUAUUUUUGUUACACGUACUUAUUUGCAUGUGUGUGGGGAGUGUGCAUGGGCCACCAGCUUGUGUGGAGGGCAGAGUGUAGUUCAUGGAAGGUGAUUCACGCCAACCAUGGGGGAGGCCCAGGGAUUGAACUCUGAUCCUCAGGUUUGGCAGUGAACCUCAUCUGCUGAGACAUCUCA